UACGGGGGGGGGCAAGCGUUGUUCGGAAUUACUGGGCGUAAAGGGCUCGUAGGCGGCCAACUAAGUCGGAUGUGAAAUCCCCAGGCUUAACCUGGGGAACUGCAUCCGAUACUGGAUGGCUUGAAUCCGGGAGAGGGAUGCAGAAUUCCAGGUGUAGCGGUGAAAUGCGUAGAUAUCUGGAGGAAUACCGGUGGCGAAGGCGGCAUCCUGGACCGGCAUUGACGCUGAGUGAGCGAAAGCUAGGGGAGCAAACGGGG
rnacentral:rRNA from 1 species